CGUAACGCGGCUUCGGGAAUAGGGCGGGAGGGUGAGGCGCCGGCGCGUCGUGAGGGGAAAUGGCGGCGGGAGCGGGGCUCUUAGGGCCCGGCCGUCUGUCAGGGCCUCCUGGGGACAUUCUGACAUGGGAGAGGCGAGCUUUGGGCCCGCGGGGACGCAGCGCUGAGUGAGAGGAAGCAGCAGAGCUAGGAGCAGCAGGCAGGUGUCAUGAGGCAGCCCAAGGAGCUCCAGACAGACACGCCGAUAUCACCAUCAGCACACCGAAAGAGCAAAGCGAUUUUGGGAACAGCGGAGAAUUAAUUGCAAGAGGAAUUCCUGAAUAACUCCACCCGUGGAAGGUGCCUGUGAAAGCAUUACAGAUGAUUCUGGGGUGUUGCCGCACAUACAGGACCAGAGCUUCGUGCUGAGAACAUUUUGUGCUUUAAUUCAUGGCGAUAUUGCUAGUGUUUUAAUGACUCGUGGUAAUAAAAACCUUUGGAACAGGAAGGGAAGACACACUUAGCCAAUUCAAGAGAGACCUUUGCUGUUAACAGGACACGUGCUUUCUGAUCGGCUUCUCACAUCGAGCAUCAGGGAAUUUGCGCUAGAUGAAUUUGCUGUACUGCCUCCCUGCCUUCACCUGUGGGGUCUUUUGGGCAACGUAAUCACACCAGAGAUGCUGCACAAAGGAACCUCUUCCCCUUCCUGUGCUCUGAAAGGCACAGGAUUGGCAGCUGAUUGUGUGAGGAGAAGCGAUCAGCAGUGCCCACAAUUAAAAUAGAAGUGGAAAAUGCAUGAGACGUUUUGGCUGGCACCUGGAAUUUCUUUUAGAAAGCCUUUGCAAACGACCCUGAGGGGUCAGGGCUGUUGUGAAGGCUCAACCAAAACCCUUCACAAAAUUCUGGUCACAUUCAACAAGUCGUCUCAGCUGGGGAAAAAUGGAUUAGAGCGUCAGUCUUUUUUGACUUCUUUAAAAAGGAAAUUCCUCAAGUUUUCAUUUUGAAGAGCCAUUUUGUUCAGAAAUUUAGCUGGCUGACAUGUUUUUAAGUGCACAAAAGUUUCUCAAACCAAAAACAACAGGCAUUUUGUUUUGGGCUGUCCAGUCUGUGCCGUUGCUUCUGAAAAAUGCAUGGAGGGUGUUGGUCUCUUCUCCCAAGUAGCAAGUGAUAGAACAAGAGGAAAUGGCCUCACGUUGCACCAGGGGACGUUUAGAUUGGAUAUUAGGAAAAAAUUCUUCACGGAAAGGGCUGUGGGGCAUUGAACAGGCUGCCCAGGGCAGCGGUGGAGUCACUGUCCCUGCAGGGGUUUAAAAGGCAUUUAGACGAGGCUCUUAGGGACAUGGUUUAGUGCUAGAGUUAGAUUAUGGUUGGACUUGAUGAUCCUGACGGUCUUUUACAACUGAAACAAUUCUAUUAUUCUAUCAAAAAUGGUUUUUAGUUUGGGUUUUUUUUUGAUUCAGCAAAGGAGCCUGACAAUCUUUUCUUAUGGGUUGGCCUGCUAAUGUGUUGGUUUGUUUUGGAGUUUGAUCUUGAGAGAUCCUCCAGAUUGCUUGGACGGUCCUACUGGCUGAGAUGUCCAGCUCUGUUGGGAGACCCCUCCAUCCUCCUCCUGGUCAGAGAAGGGACGCGGGUGGGCCCUGGGAGCCGAGCGGCUGGAGAGCAAAGGCAGGACGAGCCGACUCCUGCUGAUCUGGUCAAGAGUAAAGGUGGAUGAACAUCCCUUCCCCUGCUGAUGGAGCAACACGGAUUCCUCGCCUCUCUCUGCCUGCCCUUCAACACCAAAUGGGAGACUUCUGCAGCUCGGGGUUGACCUUCUCUGCUCGGGCUGGACCGGUGCUCCCUUGGUGAGGAGGAAUUAACGGCAGCGGAGGGCAGGACCUGUGAUAACUCAGUCUGGCAGCCCCAGCCCCGUCAGCACCAACGUGAUGGAAUAGUCUUUGGAGACCCAAAGAGCUUCGGUCAGCGCUUCUUUCUGAGAAGGGUUGUUGCAAAAGGAGUAAAGGAAAGUAACCAAGCCCUAAAAACCUGCAGGAGGGGACAGAAAUGGAGACAUUAAAAGGUUAAGGUGAUGCCGUCUCAGUAAUCAGUGCUGGUGUUAGCAAGUCUGGACUCGAUCCUGCUCUUCCUACCGAUGAAACUCUGCCGCUGUCUGCGUCUGAAGAGUUCCUGGUCUGACCUGUGGGGAUCCCAAGGAAUAAAUUAACGCCCAGCAAGCACGCGCGAAGGGAUUCCUCACUAGCAAGAGACAGGAGUGUGGGCGUCACGCAGUAAAGAAUCAUUCUGCUUUUGUACAGAAAAAGACUUGCCGGUGAAAGAAGAGCUUGUGUCUGCCUGGCUGCUUUCCGAUCGAGUCACCUUUGCCAGCCAAAGCAGAUUCUUCGUGCUGCUUCCAAGAGGCACGAGCUUAAACAACUGGUCUCAGAGCAGGGUGUCUCUACAGUCUUAGCCCUGAAGAGAGGAGGUGAAAUGUUCUCCUCUUCAGUGUACACAGACAAAGCUGGAGCAGAGCUGCUAUGUCUCUAACAGUCAAACUACAGCGAAAUCUGAAUUUUUUGUUCACGUUUCAUUGCCUGCUUUGAGGAAAACGGUGAUGGUGAGAUCAGACAUCAGCCUCGGGACACGUCUUGGCGCUGUGAGGGGAAGCUGAGAUUGAACAUAUGGCUGAUUGUAGAGCCCUGACCUUCCCAGAGCGCCACAUGGCUGGAAUUGCCUUCAAGUGCCGCUCAGAAGCCUACCUGGUGCCAUGGAAAGCCUUCGUGUCAUUUCUGGGAGAAUACACCUGUGGGCCAAGUACCAGCAGUUGCUACUGCUCGUGUGAUUCCUGAUUGUGCAACAUGGACGGCUAAGAGGCUUUUGGUGGUGCGGUAGGAGAAGACCACAGGUGAAAUCAUCCGAGCUGACCCUGGGAUGGCUCUGUGAAGCCAGGGGACUGCAGGAGAACGGAUGGGGACACCUGAGGGCACGCUGCUACUUCUGUCAUCAGAGGAAAAAGCAGGUUUUGUUAGUUCAGAAGCUGGCCAGCAAUUCUGGGCAUUAAAUCUAUGACUGGCCUGAGACAGACCUUGGGUAAGCAAAACAGAACUGCUCACAGUGGCUUGCUGAGACGUGGGUGGAAAAGCUUUCUUUGAAGAGGGUGUCCCGUCCCUUCUCCUCAGGUGUCCCCAGCUGCUCAGCUUGCUUUGUUGCCACGGCCUCGUGUUUGGGAUUCGCUUUUCUCUCAAGACCUUGAAACCCACCCCCUUCCCCAGCUCCUUGUGGAGUCUGCUGCAGCCUGUCUCUGGUCACGCAACUGUUCGUUCUGUCUCCGGAAUCUGCUUUGCACAGAAGUGAUUGCUACGUUCCUUUCUUUUUGCUUUGCAACGACCUAAUUUGUUAACUGUCUGUUGCAGCCUCUUCCUACAGCACUUGCCAAAGAGCUCAUCAAAGCCUCUCUGCCCUGGCGCUGGGGAAGGCGGAUUAUUAAUCUCUCUCUGUUCAAGGUUAGAGAUGUUUCCUCCUCUUGUGGACUAGUAGCUCUUCCAGACACAUCUUCAGCCUCCUCAUUCAAGAUGAAAACCACAGUGGCAUUAGAGUGGUGCUUGUUCAAAGGCGGUGAAGUGACUCUCAGCCAUGCCUAGUGCAAGUGUCAGCCCUGGCUUUGGAGAGGAUGACUGUCAAAAAGAGUUUGGCAGCUGAGGCUGGUUUGUCACUUUGGGAGCUCCGUGGGCUGUGACCCCACCUCAUGGGAAGUGUCACCGUAGUGAGCUGAGAGGUGCAGGAACGCCAAAGGCUGAGCAUGUGCUCUGGAGCUCAAGAGCUCUGCUGAUCGUGUUUCUUCUGCUGCUCUGAAGGUGUCUGAGGGGUGAUAACAGUGAGUGUUUCCACAGAGUGGACUUGACAGAAGAUUCCUUCAGACUGCAUUGGAAUACCACAUUCUUGGCAUAACUGGAUCCCUUUGGUCUUGAGAUGAUUAGAGGAAUGUCUCCUUCCUACCUUGGCAAAAUAAGGCUCAUAAACAGCUGUAUUGCUCCCGUGGCGUGGAGACUGAUGUGCAUACUGAGCACCAAAGGCUAAUGUACACAAUGUAUGUCAGCACUGGCUGGGAUUUCCCACGUGCGGGAUGUCUUAGAGCUGUGGUAGUGUGCUGAGCAGGGGAUAUGUGAGAGAGCGGGAGAUCCUGGUGAAAUACCCGUGUCCACACUCGGAUUUCAGGUGUGUGUCCACGCUGUGUGAUCAGAACAGCUGCUCAGGCCUGACUUCACCAGUGCCCUGAGCUGCACGGAGCUCUGCAGCAUCUGCGAACGAGCGUCUCCACUCCAGGAGCUCAUUUUGAGUACAGAAAGCAAGAGCAAGGUUUGCAGUGGUGGGUAAGAAGGAACCAGUGGUCAAGCAGGAGACGCUGGAGGAGCGUUGGAAGUUGCUGUCAGAGCCAAGGGAAGCCGAUCUGACUUGUGCUGGAAAACCACUUGUUUCCCCAGGAGACACCAUCCCGGGACAUCCAGGGCUGUCCCCAAACCAAGGGACUCGUGUACUGCUCCCUCCAUCGCACCCUGCGCUCCUGGGGCCGUGGGUGUCACCCAGCACGUGCUCCUGGGCAGCAGCUGCUAAAUCUAUUUUCUCAGCAGGUGUGUUCUUGCAUUCUCUUGAAGAACAGGAUUUUCAGAAGAGAGGGGGAAGAGAACAGAGGAAAAACUGUUGGGGGGGCGGAGGAAAUAAAGGGAAAUAGAAGACAGAGGGAAAAGGCAGCGAAUCACGGGAAGAAUUAGAGAUGGAGCAUGGAAAGGACUGCAUGUCCCUGGUUGCUGUGAGCACUCAGCAGAUCCUGUGGUGUGUCUGCUUUAUUACUGACAGAGUUCUCCCUUCUGUCGGCUUGUUUCCUAAUUGCUGGUCUUGUAAACUGCUUGAUUUAUGGCUCUGUUCAUCAGUUCUGGCCCUCGGGUAUAACAUGCUUUUCCUUCCAGGCUGGGAAGUGAAUAACGAAUUAACAGCCCGCCCUAGGUUCAAUAAGAAGCUGAGCAUUCAGGGAUCUUUAUUGUGAUGCACGUGCCAAAUCUGACUGCUUAAUUUUUACUUCUCAUUCAUGGAGGGUAUUCAACAACUCCAUCCCCAGGGCAGCAGCUGCGUUGUGGAUGCGUGGUGCCUUUGAAGUGUCCCACAAGAGAAGCCACCGAGGAACGGUUUCACUGUUGGUUUGCACAGAGAACUCCAAUCUGUUUCCUCGCAGCUUGCUCUGAAGCUGACAUUGUGCGCUGUACACGUUUGUCUCGGGCAAACUUCCUUUCAGUGCAGCUGAGGGAUGGAGAUCAAGGCAGAGAACAAAGGGCCCCGCUGAGCCGGAGCCACCACCCCCGGUGUGCGCGCAGCCAUCCAGCCAAGCCUGGCUGUCAUCCCCGUGUUCAGCCCGGAGAAGAGGUUUGUCCUACACCCCGGAGCAGCGUCCCUGGAGUCAGCGCGGCUUUAAUCUUGUACUGAGUGAACCCAGUGCAGUCCUUGAUGUCAGUCCUUCUGUGCAGCUCUGAUCCACGUGGCUACGUGGUCGCGCCAUGAUGCACCAGGUUUAUGGAGCAUCCGGGCCUUGGUGUGAUCAGCUGUGAAGUAGAAAUUGCACCUGCGAGUUACAUAGACCAGUCCCUGCUUGUCCCUCAGUGGGAAGAGAGGAGAUGCACACCCUGAGCAACAGAACAGAGCGAUUGUAAGUCUAGAGAGCGCUGCCCCAGGGAGCGGAGCAAGGGAACUGGCAGCGUCUGGGCAAGAGACAACUUGGAGGACACCUGGUGAUGUUCUGGUAAAGAGGGAGGGCAGGAAUGGACUUAAUGUCCAUUCAGUGGACUUAAGGGAUGUUCAGUACAGACGCUGGGAAAGUGGGAGGAAUAGUAAUGGUGUGAGCAGGUGUCCGGGGCUGGAGGGGGAGAGUCUCCAGCGCUGAAGCUUCUCAAGCAGUUUUGGAUACACGACUGUUUUGUUCUGUGAGCUUACGUGUCAGAAGUGCUUCCAGGCACAACCCUCUAGAAAUAAUAAUGACUGAAAACCUCAAGAACAAGUGUGCGUUAGACGGGGAAAUGUUUGAUGGUAAUUUCAGGACUCGUUUCCGAUCCCGUCUUUAACACUGGGUUCUGUACAGGGAAUAUCACUUUACUGGCCAUUCUGUCACUAGAAAACCAGCAAAGCCAUUUUCACUCUUUCUCUUCACAUCUUGCAAAAAGGUUUAUUUGCCCUGUGGGCCCAUGGACCAUGUGACGCUGUUCCCGAGCAGUGCUGGUGAUGAGAGAAAGAUGUUUUGAGAAGAUCCAGUGCCAGGUGAGCAGAAACUGCUGUUUCACCAAAUGUUUGUGCACUCCUGCUUAUUUCUCUCGUUGUCUCAGUUGAUCUUGGCAGCCUUUGGCAGGGCAGCUCUUGGCCUGACGUCCCCAGUCCAGCUAAAGACAAUGGAGCGGAGCCUCAGGGCCAGCAUUUUUAUGAAAACGUCUCUUAUUCCAAAACCUUGAUGAAACGGUCAAGCGAGCUCUUCUUCCACCUCCACCCCGGCUGUGUCCCAGCUGCUUUUUUCCUGUGGUUGCUGUGAUAAAAUUGCAACUGUCAGCCCUGAAGCAUGAACUCUGAGGCUUGGUCUUUACAUCAGGCAUGUAAUUACUUGUCUACAAAACUAGGAAAAUGUAGAAGGCAGAAAAAAAGAGGGAAAAGCAAGUUCUUUGUCAAAUUAGAGAAAGGCUAUCAUUUUCCCCAUGAUUUUUGUGUUGGUUUUCCUCCAUUCACAGCAUAGCUGUGCUUAAUCCAACUGGGAACCUGCUCCAGAGAUCAGCCUGUUGAGAAGCUAAAUUGUCACUACUAGACCCUCAAAUCCAUGUAAGGACACGGGACUUUAUGUUUGAAAACCCUGGAAAAAUUCUCAAAUCUGCAAGAUCUUAGAAGCUGGAAAGUCUGUUUUCCUGCGUGAGAAGGGUUUUUAUGGUGACUGAACACUGAAUUGCAAUCAGAAUGGCAGCACUAUUUGUUAAAUGCAAGUUACUUAAAUAAUUCAUUUUUCUCGCUAAUUAUACAGUACGUGGUUAGCUUCAAUGAUCACAUGUAAUUAAAGGGGAAUGGUUUCUGCAGCGCUGUCGUGACUUUGAUGGUGCUGAUCGAGAAGUGACUAAGAUUUCCUGGUCGUCUACAGAUUCUGUGCUAAUUAAGGGGUUUACGCGGAGUGAUGUGUGUGUCCUCUGCUUGGCGACACACCUGGAACAACAGGCAGCAUCUCCUGAUUUCCUGGAGGUCCUUUGCUUUCACCGAGCUCCCAAGUUAUCAACACCUUCCCUUCAUUUCAAAUAUGUGCUUAAAACCUUUUGAAGUCAAUGACGCUUAAGUGUGCGCUUCAGCUUUCGUCAUACACUGGAGCAUUUUACUGAAUUGGGGCUGCGGGCCGGUUGGGGAUGAAGCCUCACCCGUACCAGGGCCACAUUUAUCCCCUUGAUUAACCCAUCCAACACCUCAAUGACUGUCAUGAUGAGCUUUAUAUCUUUUAUAAUACAACAGGCAAGCCCCUAAGAGCUUGAGAAGUUUUUUUUCUUGAGGAACUAAAUGAGAUUAUAUGUUUGGCUGUAUUAUUUUACCGUGCCAAGCAAUAAGGAAGCCUGAUGGAGAGUUAUGUAUAGGGGAAAGGCUUGAUUUUCUGUACAUGCUUUAGUGACCGGACCUUUGUUCUGCCUUUUAACUGCGACCAUUUAGAAACAACUUGACUCACUUUGCCCUCGGCAGGGUGUUGCAUGUAGCUUCACGGUGUUGAAGAACACAGCUGAAAUUAAAAUUGAAAUGGAACGAUUCAGUUGCUAACAGGCCCAUUACCCAGUCGCCUGCCUGUGGCGUGGCCCUUCCUGCGCAUCCGCCCACACAAAAACACUUCCCUGGACAAAAAUUACCUUACGGGUGUUAUGUGCUAAGUCUCCAAGUCUUCUCGUCGUUUAAAUCCCCUGCGAAUCUCUACUGAAUAUUUUGCCAAUAACAAAAGGAAAGACAAUUCUCUCCUCGAACAAAAAAGAAUGGUCCCUACCGACUCGGAGAGGAAGCUGGCGUGCCUAAAGGUGGCACAAGAGGACAGAAGCAGAGCUGGAAUUACACCCCAGCUGCAUUAGGAUGUGGGCAAACCCGAUGUGGAAGGACAUUAUUAUCUACAAGCCAUCGUUGGUGGGUAAAGAAACUGUAAGAAGCUAUUUUAUAUACCCACAAGAAUUGAGGAGGGCUUCUCUUCAGCUCAGGAGAGGAGGUACCUGGAGCAGCAUGUAGCUGACAGCCCAGAGCGGUCAAGAAAAAGAAGAACAAGCAUAUUUUGACAGAAUUUAUCAGUGGACUUUAGUUCUCUGGACUUGAGCUCAGUUCUUGCAAGGGAAUCUUUCCUGCCAAAAAACCUCAAGCUGGCAAAUUCCCCCAAAGCCCCGGUUCCUUGGAGAUGGAUCUCUCAGCAUGAUGGUCAUGUCCAUCUCGUCUCCAGGUCCCCACCAGACAGCGGAGCGAGGAGAAUGGAGGUUUUGGUUGGAGAGAAAAUCUUCGGUUGCCCCGAGGGAAGAACAACAGGUCUUUCUGCCUGGUGUCCUCAGACAGCUUCGUUGGAUGUGACUCUCCUGUCGGGCAGGGACCGGACAAGAAAUAAUGGAUUUGGAUUGCGGUGGGAAAGAUUUAGGUUACAUGGCAGGAAAUUCUUCCUGUAGUCAGGGUGGUUUAUCCAUGCAGUAGCUUUUUUUUAAUUUUAUUUUUAAUUUUUUUACUAGUUCUACUAGUUGUAGAAGGUGCUGAUGCCAUCUGUGGUUGGAAGCCACCAAGGCAAACCUUCCUGUUGUUCCUGCUCCCUGAGGUGCUUUGUCAGGGUCCAUAGAAUAUCAGAUGAGAUGAAAUCCUAUUUUCAGUGUCUCAUGGCGGGUUUAAUUCCUUGUGCUGCGUCUCUGUGAAAGGAGUUAAGUGUCCUUGACUGUAGCGGCCCUCUCUGGAAAAAUAAUUCUUCUGUAGCUCUCCUUGUGCCUGUACCCUCUAUCUCUCUCUUACUCUGGCCCGUUCCCAAAAUGAUGCAAAAAUGCAUAUGGUCCAUCACACCAGAAAUAACAACAGGAGGGAAAGAUUCAAGAUCUUUUAGUUUGCAGCUGUUUUUUUAGAGAGAAUAAAUUUACUGUAAUAGGAAUGAGUCAGCAUGGAUGUAUUGCAGGUAAAUCACGUCAGACUAAUUUGAUCACUUAUGCUAAUGAAAUAACUAUCAGUCUAGAUAGUAUAAAUCUAUCUGGCUGUCCAGAAGGCUUGAAGAAAAUUUUGCUGGGUGGAUUAUAGCACAAACUCCCUAAACGUAGGUUAAAAUUAUGUAGUAUUGGAAAGGGUGAAAUAGUGGCGAGAAGGCAAAGUCAUGGCGUGGAGCUGAAUGUCAGAGAGGUGACAGGAGCAGAUCCUCUGCUGCGGCUCUUUAGUAUUUGUAUUAAAGAUUUACGCAAUGCCACAGCGUUAAAUUUGCACAUGAUACAGAGCUCAAGGGAUCAGGACUUGCUGGUCUUUCUUGGGAGUCAAAUUGCUUUUUGGCAGUAUAAUCUUGGUAAAAUGAGGUUCUUAGGGACAUGGGGUAGUGCCAGAGUUAGGUUAUGGUUGGACUUGAUGAUCUUGAGGCUCUCUUCCAACCAAAAUGAUUCUAUGAUUCUAUAAAUAAUACAAGGAGACUCAAAACCAUCUUGACUGGACCAAGAUGCUCCACGGCAGUUCCAGCACCAUUAACAAAGAACUGGAGGUACCAACUGGAGUCUUUUCAGUGGAGAUGGAGAGGUUGAUAUCAUAAUCACCAGUAGGACAGAGAGAUAUUUUUCCUUCAUUUUGUAAUUUUUUUGAGCCCUUAAUAUUCUCUCAUGAUAAACACUUGCAUUGCAGUAUUUGAUAGGAAGCACCGGCGGUGGUCAUGUUUUAUUAUAGUAUGUAAAAUAUAUAUUUUAUGUGUAGCCGAUGUAGCAAUUAGUUUGUAUUUAUGUCUCAAGUAAGGACUCGCCUGCAGUGGAAGGAGGGGGAACGGGACAGGAACAAAAUGUUCUUGUUCUCUUGUGUCCGUACACUCUGGAGUUAAAACUGCGAUUAGAUACUACACUUGUAGCUCCCGUCCUAUCACAGCACACAGUAAGGCUGUGGUGUAGCCGUAUCCCAGCCACAUUUAGCUGUGUAAAUAUUACUUAUCAUACAAUCUGAGCUACCGAACCUCACCUUCAGCUGGGUUUCUGGUUUUCGGCGUUCUUCAUUAUGCAACGUCUGGGCAACAGCUGGCCGGUCUGGGCAAGAAAAGGGAUUUCCUUGGCUUCAGCCCGCGCCCCGCAGGCUUCCCAGCAGCUUUUUUACCCGUUUUGAAGAGCGAUGUGAUGACUGCGCUUCUCCAGUGACUGUUACAUACGCUCCUCUUUCUGCCGCUCUGCAAGAACGUUCAGUCUUUGGAAGAUGUGCUGUAAUUGGCGAGUGAUUUGUCGCGUGAGGUUCUGAGGAGGGGAAGAGUGACAAUAACAUGAGGGUGGUUUUUCUUCUAUUUUGGGCUCUGAUUUAAAUCAGCUUCUGAGGCAGCAUUAAUUUCUGGGAGAAGAGGGAUGCUUGUGGUUGGAGUUUUCUGCAAGAGGAGCACAUUUCCGAGUUCAUGCAGGUGUUUAAAGGUGGCUGGUUGCAGUAAACCCAGACGCCACACUCCAAAUUGCUGCACCGCUGAGAAGGUCACCUGCACAUCUUCAGAAGGGCAAAAAUAUUAAAAUGUAAGCCACAAAAUCAAUCUGUUAAAUAAACCAGUUAGAACCAAAGAGGAAAUCUGAAAUCCCUGUGUAAUGGGUAUAACUCAUUCCUACUGUCAGUUCAAAAUGAACCAUAGCAGGAGAAUUCAAUGAUACCAUUGUUUGGUGAAAUUAGACUUGACACUGGCCAGUUUCUGUUUAUUUUGGUUGGUUAGGAUUUGCAAUUGUUUGACACUCAUUAGAAAUCACAGCAACCUGUACAAGAUUACUCCGUACAAGAUUACUCAUCACGCCACAGCUACGUGCUAAUUGGAAAAUAACUAGUGAAUUACCACGUCUUCCACGAGUUGUCAUCUGAGCACGUCAGGUAACGCACCGGGGUGAGCUGGCAAAGAAUUUGGUCAUACACACAACAGCUAAGAAAAAAACUUGCAGGAAAUUACUGUUACAAUAAGUUCUCAGAUGCAAAAAUAAUUAUUAAUCCUGGUGAUUUAUGGGAAUUCACUUGACCUUCUGUUUCCUUCAGUGCCUCCAGCAUGAGGACACGUGGUUCCCUACCUGAACCUCAGCCUGCUUUGGUUUUGUUUUCUAUUUAGAGCCUGCCAGUGAGUUAGAGAAGCCCCAGAUGUUUCUUAGCAGUUACACCUGCCUGAGGAAGCAGCAAAAUGCGGGAAGCAAUACCUCGCAAUCAGGAAGCUGCUUGUUUCGCGAUUAGCGUCGCUGUUAUCCCCGAGGGAAAGGAUGGCACUGUCUGGACAGACUGUGGAUCCAACAAGGCAACUUGGAUCUGGUUCUCCAGCCCGCAUCAGCUGGAAAAGUUGCCUGGUUGCCACCAGUGACUUUGGAUUUAGGAGCCACGAGAUGCUGUGAUGUGCGGGGCUGUGAGUUCACCCGCUCACCAUAACGUGGGUUUUCAGCCUCUGUUUGGCAGGGAAGAACACAGCCAGGACGUGGCUUUCCAGCAGGUUGUCGGUGGAGCAGUGUGUGAGAAAGAAUGGUUCCUGCUGGGCUCUGCAAUUGCCCUUUCUCAACACCGAGGGGUCUCUGUGGUGUCCUCCAAGUCCUUUUCUGAGGCAGCGUCCUUUACCAGCCUGAAUCUCGGUGGGGAACGGGGCUGCUCUGCUUGACAUGUGCUGGCAAGGACCUGCAGUGGCUGCAGACCAGGAGCUCAGUUGGAUCCCAGGCUGUGAGGGUUGCAAACCCAGGAAAUUGUUUAUAAAUUCACCCUCUAAAUCUAGACUCAAAGCAUCUACUGCCCAAAGGGUCUGCAUCUCUCCCAAAGGAUCUGCACCUUUCACAGAGCAUCCUAAGGCGGGAGAUGUUCCUGUUGCAACUCUUCUGACACCAACCGUGUAGCAAACCUCCUUACAGAAACGCAUCUUAAAAUCUCCAGGCUGCUCAGAGCACCCCAGCCAAACGUCCCCAGGCUGGUAGAACAGAGCAGGAAGGAAAACAUUGAUAUAGUGACCUUGGUCUUUGGCUCCACGGCACCUGAAAGCGCGGGCACGUUUGCACCUCUGGGGAGAGAGAACGAGGAAGCAGGGCCGCCUUCGACGUGGUAACAGGAGCUCUGCCUUGCAGGGCUGGAGACAGAAUAGUCGUUAUGAAAAGAGGGUGACUUGGCCUUCGUGGAGACAUUUGAGCUGCUGUGGUUUGCAGAUCCCCGGGUCCUGAGUCCUGAACCUCGCAGUGGGGUUGGCUCAGUGCAAUGGGUUGGGAAGGAAUCCACUGGCUGCGGAGCUCUGGCACUGCCAGUGCAAAGAGGUCAUGCAAAAUAAGUUAAAAGAGUGCCUUAGACAGGAGUUGAGGAAUACUCCUGACCGUACACAAAGAAAACGUAACUGCUUAAUAUCAGGCCUGUUGCUCAUGACAUACAGGCAGGAGAAAACAAGAGAAGGCAAGUGAAGGUAACUCCUUCUCCAUUCAGCUCAGCACAACCUGGGAAAGCUCUGGGCAGCCUAAUCCCCAUCUCUGUCUGCUUUUCAUGAUUUUAUUUUUUAUAGCCAGAAAUAAGAACUUUAUUGGCUUUAUUCAUCUCCCAUCAGAUGCCAAAUCAACAUCUGGCGAUACAGCAAUUCCCAGAAAAUGCUGACCUAGCAAGAUCCGGUGGAGCAGGCCGUGCUGAGGACAUUCUCCAUCCCUGACUGCCCUUUAAAUUACCUUCCCAGCCAAAGCAGGACGUGUACCCCACCUCACCCUUGCUACCUGCCUGCGUCUCAGAGCUCCAGGGUCAUGGGGAGCUCCUGCGGUUGGAAGGCACCUGAGAAAACAUCUGUGGCAUGGAGGAUCGGGGAGGAGUUGGGGACCAUGUGCCAGUGCCAGACGAGCUCAGCUCUCUCUCCUCCCGUACGCCGGAUGCAGAAUUUGUGCAUAAAAAUGCAAGGGUCCUUCCCGAAGGGUUUUUUAUAGAGUUUCCUGCAGGUUGGAGGAUUUGAAGAUCUAGCUGAAGACUGAAUACAGAGGAGCACCUACGCACUACCUCAGUGCAUAGUGGACUUAUCAUACGGCUCAGGUGCAACAAGACAGAGGCAAGUUCUGUUCACAGAUUAGCCCACGUGGAGCUGCUCCAGCAGGUCCAGCAGGUUCCUGUCGCAUCCCUGGGCUCCCACAGCCCAUCUCCUGAGCCCCCUUUUCCCACACGGUCCUGCCCCGACUGCUCCCCUGGGGUGUGGGUGUUGUGGUUUGUGCUGAAUUGUGGUAUCCGCCUUUCCACGGCUCGGCUUUUCUUUGCUCCCUAUUUCCUCAAUUCAAGCUCCAGCCAGGCGCUCAGGGCCGUUCCUCCCUCUUCUCUGCUAGAAUCCUCUACCCACAUUUUGGUCUUUUUUCGCCAGGGCAGAUGUGGGUACAGCUUUUCCCUCCUGGGCCGACUGGUCUUGGAGUAGCAAACCCUGCUGUGAAACAGGGACACAAACCCUUCAGUGGUACCAGGUGCCAUUUUUGGAGGAUGCGGUCUUCAAAGGCCGUGUCACAUCCCCAGAGCUGGGUGUCUUUGGUUGUCCUCAGCUCCAAACCCACAGCAAGAGCUACAGAUCAUUCAGAGAAAGGGUCCUGGCCAAACCGCCUCAUCAGGUGCCCACUCAUGUGAGCAAAUGCCACCAGUGGGAGCUGAGGCUUCAUCAUCCAGCCCAUAAUGCUCCUUUAAAGACAUUUCAGCAGCUCAAUUAAGUUUCCACUUGUGUGUUUUCUUUUCCCCCCCUUUGCUUUCAUGGUCAUUUAAAACAAAUAAAGUGAGCAGAACAUGGCAGCGUGAUAACCACCGUUUAAUUCCCUUCCCACGGGUCUCCAGAUUAUUUGGUGAUUCAGCGGCCGCAGGGGGAACAUUUACGGAAAGGGAGGCGGGAGCUUCCCACAGGGACCACAGCUCACAAAACCAUGGCCCCCUGAGCAUCUUGGCCAAAAUACGUGCCUCGGUUUUCCUUUUAAACACCACGGAUAUGGUGAAUGCAACACCGGAGUCCGGGCCACCCGCUCCCGCACUUUUGUGGCGUCCCCGUUCUCAUCGCAUGUCUCACUGCCCUCGUUAUUCUCGCAUUGUGAAGUGUGGACGAAGACCAAUGUUCGGGGUGUAUUUCACGCUUCUGUGCAAACACAAUAUGAGAUGAAGAAUUCGUACCCUUAGACAAGGAGACCAGGGUGUAUUUUCUCAUUAUAAGGAAAAGCAGCCAAACGGGAGCCUGCCAAUUCCUCUUCAAUGCUCCCAACUUCCCUAGGAAGUUCAAACAACUCUGUGCUUUUAAACCGGCAGAGAGAAGUAUAUUAUAUUUUUUAAAAAAACAAAAGCCAACACAAAUCCUUUUGGAUCUUUUUUUGCAUUAUUCUCCCAACCUCUAUCUUGGUAGGUUUUGAUCCGCUGGGACUGCGGUGGUGGCGAAGGAGAACACCAUGUGUUUUAUGUGUUUGCGAACAAUUAAUAGCAGGACCGAGUUUCACUGGAGCAGCAUGUAAAAUGCACCCCAGGAGGGGGAAAAAUAACAACUAACCAGACUGUUAAGCAGGCCGGAGCUUUUGCUGUCCUGUAGGAAAACAGUGUGGGGGUUUGCUUGUUCAUCAGCAGCAAUAAAUAAUGGGCGCUCACCUUGAGCUCUCCUUCAGCCGCUGCUGCUUCUCCCCAGCCUCUGUGCUAGCAAAGAAAAGAAAUAUUGUUUGGGCGACAAAUUGUGGGGUUUGUGGCUGUUUGAAUUUUAGCUCUUGGGGUUUUUUUUCCCUAAAAAGCUCCCAUUUCGUAGCUUUGGCUUUGUCUUCCCCAGCAUCCAAAGCCUCUGCCGAUCUGCCACUGAAAAAUGAGUCGUGAAUCAUUUGCCUGAACCUGCCAGCCCCACGUCACAGCCAGGCGUGCAGGUGGUUUGGCCUGGGAAGGCCGCGGGAUGCACGUUAGUCACUUAAUCCGUUGAUAAUCUAAUGGCACUGUCAGCAGGUUCUCUCACCCCUUGCAGAGAACGUCGAGACACGUUUCCAUCCCGUGCCAGGAGGAGGAACUGGCUCACCCAGCACUGGAUGGAUCCGAAUUCCCUCCGGCAAAGGUUGUAGCGGCGUCGGGUCCCUCGUCCUGCCUCCUGCCCUCACACCUUCGGGAGUGUUCUACCCAACACCUUCGGAACGUUUCUUGAAUUAAAUGAUUCAGGAAACACAUUUUCAGACUGUCGGCGAGGUGCAUUCAUCACUCCCCUGAAUAUGCACCAGAUUGUUAAUGCUUUGGGCCAAAUACCAUGUCUUUUUUAAUGCCUACAAAAUGUAGUGCGUGUUGCUGGCUCUAUAUUUAUAAUAAUUAUAAAAGCAACAGGAGUAACUGCAUUCCUACAGGCUAGAAAUGGCCAGGCAUGGACAAAAAAAAAUGAUUCAUUGUCGCAAUUAAUGCUUGAGCUUGCACCUGUGAUUAAUUAGCCUGGCAAUAGUGCUAUGCAAAAGAUCAGGAUGAGAAUUAAUAGGGAGACAAGUGCCGACUUUUAAGAUGGUUGGACUAGUAUUUAGUGCUUCUUCCUUGGGCUGCCUUUGCCCGUUUAAUUAAGAGCAACGGCACAGACUUGCUAUGCACCAAUAGACCCAUAAGCAGGUGGUGCAGAAUAUUUAUAUUACAGUGUUCUGUAGAAAACUUCAAAAUUAAACUCCCAUCCAGGUCUCUAAAUAGAAUUUUGAAAUGUCAGAGAUGCUCAGAAGGAUGCUGGCGUGGAUGAGAUUGCUGUCAGGGAGAGGCAAUAGGAUGCCAGAUUUAUGCUGGUCUAAAUAACGCAGGUGACUUCAGCUGUCGUGUUUAAAGAAACCUCAAGCGUUCUGAUGGACGUUCUUCAGCUGGUGGGAGGGAGAGGAAUGGGCAGGAACAUGUGCUAGAGCUUUGCACCCCGUCACCAAUCCCUGCGGGCUGCCGUGGUAUUUUUCCCUUUUCCUCCGAGCGUGGCCCGUGGUGGGGAACAGCUUUGCUCUUGUUUAGUAGGUGACUUUGACACGUGAGAGGGAGCAGGGACAGUUCCCAGGAGCCUGCGAGUCCCCGCGAAGCACAAGCUGACCCUUUCAGGUGAGCCCUGUUGGUGAAGUUUCUCCUCCAGGUUUUAUCCCUCACUCCGUCUGCUGGCUCAUUGUCUUGCCCUUCUGCAUAUUUGUGCCUCCCACCACCCCAGUUCAUUUCUUCCAGUUGCAGCAGCUAUUGACUGGUGUAUAUAAAUGGGGUUUAACUAGUCCUGCUCCUGAACCGCUGACGAGCCCGAUUUCUCUGUUCACGCAUCAAUCUGAAAGCACAUGCAAAGUUACCUCUUGGCUGACUUAAUUGUUCGGAGCUGCAACCCUAAUGUCUUUGUAAAUAAAACGGUCUGAUCUCAUGGGACAUGCCUGGCGGAAAGAGUCGAAUAAAUACAUCAAUAUGGAAAUAGAUCCACAAGAGGAGGAUGAACUGGGACUUUGCAAAAGUGAUAAAGCGUCUUAGGAGACGGGUUGUCACUACACUCCUUGCAUAUUCUGAUGAAGCAGAGAGCGCUGCUGGGUCUGGGCUGUGCAGGGGAAGGGAGGGAGAAGCGUGGGCACGGGCACACCGUGACUGAAAUGCUUCUACGGAUUGAUUUGACUUAAAUAUAUUCCAAGGCUGGUCUAAUUGCUGGUUUAGUCUCAGGCUUUGAUUUUCCUGGUGCUUUCCCAUCUCUGAUGCUGAGUCUUUCAUGCAUUUCAAGCAGCCUGACUGAGGGCAGCGUCCAGCUCGAACCGAACCUCCGUUAGACCAAAAGAGACGAUGCCCAUCCUUCCCGAACCCUUUCACACCGCGCCUGCGGCAAAGCGGGCAGGAGUUACAGGCAGCCAAGGUCAGACUCUUGCUGGAUGAGUGUGUUGCCGGUGUAACAGGCAGAGGGAACCUGUCACCCUCCCCUUGCCGGGGAGAGGAGCGGAGGAGACACCUCGCAUGGCGUAGUGGGGGCCGCUGCCUCCCUUCAUGCCGGCCGGGCUCCAGCCCUUGUUUUGCAGCAUGCACAGGGAAUUUUAUCACCUUCAGCAGCGAAAUCUGUCACCUUCGAGCUGCUUUAUUGUAAGCUGGAGAGUUUCACCUCGUCCUCUGUCACCCAGCACAGGGUGCAUCCCUCCCCACGCCUUCGCUGACAUCGAUCGGGCUCCUCGCUGCCACUGUCCCCAUUAACUUUAGGGACCACAUUUGUACUUGUUUUCUCAGGGGGAUCAGAGCGUUAAUUGAUGUUUCUCUUUGCCUUCCUUUGGUCUCGUGUGCAUCUCAAUCCCGUUUGUCUGGUGGCCACUUCACCUCCCCUUCCAGCCCCAGUUCUCCAAUCUGGAGAAUCAAAGACACUCACUACAGCCAGGAUUCAGGUGAUCUGCUGUUUCAAAGAAGUACAAAUACAUAUUUUAAACCACGAUACCUUUGUGUUGCAUCAGUUAUAAAAAUACACAUAUUUGCAUCAGAUUAACUGACGUAUUUUCUCUUGGAAAAAGCAAUUUAAUAUUAUUUGGGGAAUGGUACUUCAGCAGACGUGACUUGGGUGUCCCAGCUCUGGAAGCGUGGUGGUGCAGAAGGCCUUUUUCUGGAUAGUUUGGUGUGGCAGAAGGAGAUAAAUUGACUUUCUUAAUCCACAUUUAUUAUAUGCUAAGAUCAGAAUAUUGCUGCUUUGCUGUUGCUUCUAUUGUAGAUGCAUUUUUGUUUUAAGGGGUAAGUAGUUUCAUCUGAAAUGCAGUUAUUUGCAUUUGUAUGGGCUAAUUAAAAACUUAACGUCAGAGAUACAUUUCUGUGAGCAAUCAUUAUACAGCAAAAUGGUUCUUGCUUUUUGUAGAUCUCUGCUUCAGUGCAGAAAUCUGAACUUUUAAAGUCAUUUGGUCAAAUCUUUAGAUUUCCAAUGAAUAAUCAGUCUUUGCAACAAAAGCUUUAAGCAAAAAAUGAGGUGUGCGUUGGAGUUUUUCCACAGAACAAAAUCUAUAACUUAUUAUUAAAUAUAAAGAGGCUUAUGUCUUGAGUUUCAUUGCGCCACAGUGUAUAAUAGCUUUUCAGAAAUGGGUUUUUUUUCAUCAAACAAGAUGCGUCGUUCCCGCUGCCGCACUCGUUCCCCGCAGCGCAGGGGAAGGUGCCGGGGCCGCCUGGGGCUGCUCCAUCCGCCCCAUCCCCGGGAGUUACUUCAUGAGCAAUGGAAAUAUCGAUUGCAAAAGGAUCCGAAACGCAACCAGAAAGGAGCUUUGGGGAGAGAAAAUAAAAUCGCAUUACUCUGCGUCCCUUGAAUUGUUGGAUUUGGCAGGAGUGGGGCUGCGUCAGCGGGCAGGAGGCUGGGAAUACAUAAAUACUCCUGCUGUGUUUUCGUUCGCCAUGGCCAAUUUCCAGUGUGCAAACUGGGAUUACCAGGGAUGAGAUGCAGUUGGGUUCGACCUCUGCUGACCUGUUCCAGCCCUGGGAGAGCUCUGGCGAUGCAGCGCCACACUGAUGUUUCACCCUGAUAUUCCUGCCUUAAGCAGGUCCUAAGCCAAGACUACCGACUCACAUACCCAACUGCAGAGGUUUUGUGACGAGCCGAUGGAAACCUCUCCUCCAGCACACACAAAUACGCUUUGCGAGGCAAAAAUAAGCAGUAAUGCAAACAUCAAACCCUUAUUUUUUCCUUUUCCCCCCAUCUUUUUUUCCAUUUGCUCCAGGAAAGCAGGAAGAGGCGAGGAGGGAUUGACACUCAUCCCACCGAGGGCUGUUUCUGAGCCGCCUGCUGGGAGCACUCGCUCUGUGUUUCUCUUUAGUUUUGAGAUGAACGUGGCUCCUGUUUGAUGCUUAGACUGACCUCAUCUGUGAUACCCAAGGAGUUUCUACACGGCCGGAGAAAGGAUAUUUAGAGCAUGUACGCUGAGCGGGGGAAGGUGGAAAGGCCUGUGAGCGUGUCCUGCUCCCCGUGCUCUUACACACGUUCUACAUGCAGGCCUGAACGCAAGCUCGAUAGCAACUCUCUGCUCGCUCUGCCAAGGCUCCAGCUCCAAACGGCUUCUCGGCAUCCUCCACCUUCUUUUCCCGAAGUAACAAAGCCAUUUGAUUUCCUCCCACCCCUUCUCGGUGCGCCCCUGCGCUCUCCCCAUCCCCCUCGCUGGCGCUGGGGUUAUUUAUACAGAAUGUGGAAACAAUUUGCAGGAAAGCGAACAAUGUAAGCUGGAGCGAGGGGAAGGGAGUUUAUUGUGCACAUGCAUAGCCCAGAAGUGAAACGCUGCUUUUUGGAGGGGGGAAGAGGGAGCGGACUGUUUUCCUUUCCUCCUGCUCCUCUCUCUCGACGUCUCACUGACCCGCGUUCCGUCUUGCCAGAGUCGGGUCCAAACCACAGCAACCAGAUCUGAGCGCGUGUUUUGGAGGAAGUUCGCCUUGGAUCCCUCCCCGCGUCCCAGCGUGAUGAGGCGGUAUCUGUGUACUUAAUCCUCUCGGAUGGUUUCUGCUCCUGGAUUAGCGUUAAUGAAGAGCAUGUGUGCUGGAGAGGUCCUGAUCCGGGCCUGGAGAGCUGCAGCCAUGCUCAAGGCACCGUUCUUGUUAGACACAGAUAUUCUGAGGAUUGUUAGGCUGAAGGAGAAGACUCAUUGGGAGUGAAUGAGACAGGAAUUGUUUGCAAAGUCUUAUUUCAGUCUUUCUCCCCUCAGCCACUCAGCAUUACAUUUGCAGAGCAUCUCAGCACCUUGGUAGUGCCAAUGUGUCUUUGUUAAAUGAAGCGGUUUGCUUUAGUGCCCACCGGAGAGCUGAGCUCUGCUGGAGCUUGGGAACGAAGCGCUUGCAGUUCUCAGAGGUGCAGGGAAGCCAUACGAAGCUGAACCAGCAUUUUGUUCCAUACCACUGAGCAGCUCUGAGGUCUUCAGAUCUUGCUCUGCACCAUGAAAUCCUCCAAAAGAAGUGGUCCAAACCCACACAUCUGUUGGGAUGUUGGUGAGGCAGAGGCAAGGAAACUUUCUCCAGAGCAGAGCGGCUGCCUUGGCGAGCUUCUCCCUCCCCAGAGCUCGCAGCGCCUUUCUCAACAGCCUCAAGACGUGGGACGUGAUCUGAACUGGUAGGACAGGGCCAGGAAGCUGCUGAGUGGGACAUCGCGUUCCUCUCUAAACCAGGUGGAUUUCUGACCGUGAACUGGUGCAGCAGAUCAACGGUGAUCCCGUGGCACAGAGAGACGGUUGGAAGGAACCUGUCCCGGGCUGUUCCUCCCUGAGUCCUGUAUCAUCUCCAUGUUCCAGGACUUACUGCUCCUCCUCUGCCUUUGUCUGCAAAGUGUGACUGUUCAGCGUCUGUUGUGUAAAAUACCACAUCUGCUCUGCCACACAAGCGUCUACCUGGAUGUUAUUGAUGUUUACAGGUAUAUAAAGGGCCCCAACACUGUGGACUGGAAUCCUGUGGCUGGGAGCGAAGCGUGGUUGUCGCCAUCACCAGCAUUGCAACCCUGUCCCACCGUCUGAGCCCCGCGGAGCCAUAGAUCUGGCAGUUCCCAGCCCAACUGCGAGCAAUAUCCUGAACAGAGCCGGCGAGCACCAGGUGAAGAAAAGCAACAGAAGCAGAUGGGCUUGUAAACAGCAGAAUUCUGGCUCCCCCACAGAGGUCCUGCGGAGCGGAGAGGAGCAGAAUGGUUGGUAAACACGCAGCAACUUCCAUUUUCUGGGCUGAAAUGCGAUGAUCUGAGGAGGGGAGGACCACGCAGGAACAGCAACUAUGGUAUUCUGGCACAGUCAGCUAUUCCCAGCAGACGGUGUUCGCGUUCAAACUUGUAGCAAAUUGGAGAAUAUGGAAAGAGGGGUACGUUUUCCAGCAUCGGAGACUUUGUGGGUGAUGAAAACAAGAUUUCCAGCAGCCUUUUUACACCAGCAUUUCAAUCGUGGUUUCUAAAGAAGUAUCCUCCUGUUUUUCUGUUGUUCCUCCCUCCCCUUGAAUUACUUUGGAACCUGUCAGUCAAUCAGAGUUAUCAUGUCAACGCUAUGAAAUUCCCAUGAGUUACCUGAUGCUUUGAGGCUGGAUGGAGGGGAAGAAGAAACCCAAAGGUUGAACCCAGUGGUGGAAGAAAACCCAACCGCACAUCUGUUCGGAGAGCUGGGACUCCUCACGCUUGAGCUGGGAGUUUCUGUUUCUCUUGGGGAUUGGGAAGGGAGAGAUUACUGAGUCAUUGAAUCUUCAUGUAACAUGAUUAGAAUCUGGAACAGAUCCCCAAAAAGACAUUUAGGGACAACUAAACGCACAAAACAGCUUGAGUAUACAUAGCACCAGUGUUCAUCCACUGCUGGAUAAAGCCUCUCAAAUGGGCAGCGCUUUAAUAAAGUGCAUAUGUCUAGGGACCCAAAAUACAAGAAAAAAUUACGAGAAGGUAGAGAUAACACUUUCUCUGUUUAUUAGAGAGGGAGAAAAUGCCAAAAAGUUAUUAAUUUAUUUUCCUGAGAAUGUCUCAGUUGGACAAGAACCACUACAGGUUAAGACGAUCCCCAAGACCUGACGCUUGCAGAACAAGCGGGCUCGCUUCAUCCUGCCACAAAUCCUUCUGGCUUUUCUAGGGAGAUCUGUAAUUCCAAGUAUUAACCUCAGAGGUUAAUUGAAGCCUCAAAAGAAGUUUAUUUGUUAGGUGAGCUAAAGGGUGUUUUAAUUAUGUGUUUAAUCACUGUUGCUUUAAGCAUUAAUUUUGCCUGGGAAAGGAAGCUGCAGUAUUGGGAGCGACACCUCACAGCUUAGAUUUGGAGACAGAUAAACAGGGGGGGGGGGGACUGACAAAAGCUCAUAACCUGUUAUGGCAGAUGGAAACGAGCUCUGAAUUAAAAGAAGCUCUUUUGUUUUGGGCCAAAAAUAACUGGACUCGGUGAGGCCUGUUUCCCUGAGAAUGGUGCUCAGCAGUUUUUUGACAGUCAGAAGGAAGUUACCCGAAAUGCAGACUAUAUACCUCUGGAUAUUUUUUUGUUGCCUUAUUUCUCUUUUCUGCUUUAUGUGUCCUAUCCUUGCAGCUUUCCAGAGCAGAGUUACUCUUCCACUUGUUCCCUUUGCCUCCUGCUGAGUCGAUUUCUUUAUUUUUCACCAUUAUUUGUACUGCAGUCACUCCUGGAAUCUGGGAAAUCUCAGAAGUCUCCUGCACUUACCGCCAACUCUCCCACUAAAGCAGUUCAUUCUUCAUUAUAAAGGAGAAUAAAAGGCCAGCAAAGCGCACUGUGACACCCAUUCAGGUGCUGUUACCCUGUAAUUCUUUAAAAAUUCUUUAAGUCGCUGAGAAGUAUUAAUGUGGGAAGCUGACCGACUAAAUUGGUGUGAGCACGUGAAAAAGCAGCAAGUGCUGUGGCCUGGGCAGCGGGUUCUGGUUUUGGUUUGGACACUGACUCAGUGAGCUCGGGGAAAAUCAUUUCCCUUCUCUGUGCACCUGUUUCCACUCCCCACCUCUAAUUGUCUGCCUGUUUGCACUCGGAGCUUUCAGGACACAGCGCCUCAGCACAAAGGAGCCUCGUCUCGCUCAGCGUUGCAGCAAUACAAACAAGAAUUAAAGGGAUGCCCAGAUGACAUGCACGUCUGGAACCCACUGCGCUCGAGCUCCGUUCCCACUCCUCGGCUUCUCUCAGGCACCCAGCAAAGCAGACACCAGUCCCACUUCCAGCGGGGAGGUGAACUGGCGCAAAAUCACCAAAACUCAUCAGCACCCAAUCGGAACCUCCAUCCUGGAGCUGUGCCACCUCCCCACGGGUGAAAAGCUGCUUUUGGAGCCGGCUCAUCCCGCCCUCACUGCGCACACUCGAGCCUGCUCCAAUUUGCCAGCAGAGAAAUGAGCACAAACGUUUUCUCCUUUCCUCCCUUGUCUGAGGAGGUUUUAUUCCUUUUGAAUCAGCGCCAUCCAAGGCUGGCGAUUUUCUUCUCCUGCCAAAGCCAACAUGGACCGUCGUAAUUAGGGAAUGGAAAAGUCCCCCUGACUCCCAUCUUCAUCACAGCAACGCAGCAUGGUUGACCUGAACCGUGUAUUUCUGGCCUAUCUGUAUUUCGCCGUAGCCUGUUUCUUUGCGGGAGAGCGGCUGGUAUUUUCCAAUUCACACCGCUCCUGCGGUACGUGGUGAUUUAUAACAGGAGCUGCCUUAUUAAUGUCAAGGGCAGAACUGCUACCGACGUUCAAGCUGCAAGAGCGGAUGAAAAUCAUUUCGUGAGCUCCGGCGAGGUCCCGGCACCGAGGGCUGUUGGCUGAUGCACGUUCUGCUCGCAGCCUCCGCCAAGUCCGCGCGCUGGGUUCUGGGCCAGCGGCUGGAACGUGAACGAGCUCGUUCCGAGCCGGAGCUUCUCAACCUCGGAGCAACCUUAAGCCAGGGUUCAGGUUUCCUUGCUUUUUGACAGGAGUGCUGUUCAGAUGAAACCCCGCUCCGCUCCUUAUGGAGGAUUUACACUGCCACAAGCCUUGAUUUUUUCCAGAUGUUUUACCUAAUAAAUCAGGGAGGCUCAUCAGAGGAUUCGAAUCCAAAAGCUGUUACCAUGACUUCAAAGGCACAGGCUGGAAUGGAAAGAAGCAGCACAGACAUUUUCUACCACUCUCUCGUCACUGAUCAUGAAUAUACAUUCUGGUUCUUGUAUUUGUUUCCUGUGGAUACCAAAACUCCACCAUGAUUAAAUAAAACAGUGCUGUGCUUCUUCAGCCAACCUUUGCUGAAGAGAAUUGAUCCAGAGCCCUCGUGGGUGCGUGGUGAGCAGACACUGAGGAUGGGGCUGGUGCUGAGCUGAGCUUUGCCAGCCCAGUCCAAGAUCAGGGACCGUUAACACAGGUUUGAACUCACUCUGUCUUUACAGAUCAAUACGCGGCUGCAUGUUCUCUCUCCGCGCUAGUUUAAGCUGCUCCCACGUAAAGGAUUCAGACGUCCAUUCAUAUUCUUCAGAUGUUUGGGAGAGAAAAAGAUAAAAGGAGUUAUAUGGCCGCAAAAUGUGAUUGUGAUUAUUCAUACUGGUUUGUUCCUUGAUCAAUAACAUAACUUUAUUUUUUUUUAAUAUAGUGGAUGCUUUCUUUUUACAGUGUCUACGUGGUGUCAUUUUCUUUUGCUGCUGCGUUUCUGAAGAUAAAUGCCCUGGCGUUUUGAGAAACUGUUCUGUGUGUGUUUCCAAUAACAGCACAGUGUACUGCAGGAUAAGGUAACGAAGAAAAGCACCUGAAUGAAGAAAGGGAAGGUGUUCUGUGGGUAGGUGAGCCCAAGAGCUACAAGGCUGCGUUUUGUCACCUGCUUUCCUGAAGAACUUGGCUCCGGCUGCGUGAGGUGCUGCCCAUCAGAGAUGCUUCACGUGCGUUGUCUGCUUGGACAUAAAUUUACGCCAAUUAGAUCACAUUCUAUGUGUCCCAGGCAGCAGAGCGUCCUGCAGCAUGUUUAACCAGAUCUUUAAAAAUCAUGGCGGUUGCCCAACAUGUUUUCAGAUAGGAUGUUUUGGAGAAGGGGACGUCCUGCUGCAUUCUGGUGGAGGGUGGUCAGAGUGGGAAGAGCCAGGUACGUAUCAUCUCCUGUGUUGUAAUGAUGGGUUCAGACCGAAAAAUAAUGUCAUCUCAAUCUUAAUAACAAACUAACAGUUACCACGAUACUAUCUGUUCCUGCCACAGACUGCAGAAAAAUUGCUGCUUAUCUUCCCUCCCCCAGCACCCCGAACUGUUGAGGCUGCCUGGGCUCAGUGACAUCUCGAGUGAUACGUGUUGGAUCGUCAGAAUGGAGUGGGAGUAGCACAGCUUGCUUUCGGGAGCCAAAAAUAGGUACUGUCAUUUCAGAGCUGAAUCUUCCCUUCUUCUUCCCCACCCAGCCCUGCCUGUUUGGCACGUGUAACACAUAAUCGCAGCGUUCCCAUCGUCCCGAAGAAAAACCACAUUCCUCGAGCAAGCGGCGUGUUCAGUAGGGGACGUGCUUUGGGAGCAGGGUACGUUACGAUGUAGAUCCUAAAUUAGCGAGCGUCAGCGAUGAUGGUUUGCAGAUGUUUGACGGGUACAGCUCAUUUGCUGCAUCGCCACGUGGAGGAACAUCAGAGGUGUUCAGAGAUGCGCCGUAAAAUAGGGAGCUUGAAUUCUUUUCACUGGACAGCUGCUCAAGUGCUUGUAAUUGAAUGACUGAGCGACGAACAUAGCACGUUUGACUUUCUUCUUUGGUUCUUUUCUGGCUUUUGUUCUGUAGCUCUGUGAAUCUCGGUCAUGCUUUCACCUAUUUUUUUAAGUCUGCUCACUGGAGUAAGUAUUUGUCUGCUUCUGCCAGACCCCGAAAGCUACAUUUCAUUUAAAAAACCCUGAUUAUUCAGGAAGAGUGAAGUUUGAUUCACAAAGAUACCAUUCUUUGAAGGUGUCUGCUCCUUUGGUAGUGGCUGAUUUAAAUGGGCACCGUUUUACUAUGCCUGUUUCGCUGUUCUCAAGGCCACACAAAGGAGGAGGAAUUGUGCAAGGCCAUAUAAAUCAGGGUUUGUUAUAGGGAUGUCAAAUGCAACUGCACCGUGGGGUGUUCAUAGUGAGCAGGCAAGUAGUCAAAAGCAAGUCAGAACCACCAAACAAAAGCCACAAAGCUAAUCUGGUUCGUGAUGCUUCCCAAAAGCGCAGUGUCUGGUCUGGGAGGAGCUUGGGGUGUUACACUGACCCCUAUCACAUUUUCAAAGUGCUCCGGUAAGUAAUUGGGUGAGUAAGCUUAGUGGAACAUCUUUGGUUCUCAGUUUCUCCUAUCAGGAGAGAUCUAAAAAUGAAGCUACGUGAGCACAUCACUAGUCCGGGUCUCCUCCUACUUAUUAACACCAAGCUCACGCCUCUGAAUUCGGGCUCAGCUCAAGCAGCGUGAGGAGAAACAGCUCACAGGACACACACUGAGGGACCUGCUGGGUUUAACUUCCAUCCAAUAGUUCAUCAUUGCGUGGAGGACAAAGACUCCCAGUCUUUGUGCGUGCAAAUAAGAGUUCCCAUCUUUUCCAGCAGCGCUUUGUGGGCAGAGCGAGGGCAGACAAGAAAGUUUAACCAGAUCGAGAAAUCUGACAAACCUUUUAGUGCAGACUGGAGGCGAAAGCUCUCAGGCGAUGUUUGGACCACAGAAACACCUCAUGGACUGCGGCGUUUCUCCGGAAACGUUCACCGCAAUGGGCCCUGUGCGCAUCUCGGAGCUGGGUUGCUGCUGGCCUCCUGAAAACCAGAGCGCUUGCUACCCAACGUCAGUCUUUACCCAACAUCACAGUGCUUUAAAUUAACUUCUUUUGUGCAAAAGAAAUUAAAGAGAGCGGAAGGUUUCGGGAUUGGCUGCAGCUCGUGGGCCAGGAUCUCAGGCUGCACACACAUGCGUGCACAUGUGCCUGUGAGUACAUAUGUUGUGGUUUCCAUAUUAAUUUUUGUUAUUUCUCAAUAUUCCCAUUGAUAUUUAACGUAUUUAUCUUGGUUGGUGGUAAUUACAGCGGUGAAAGUGCUGACUCUGAUGUCCCUCUGGGACAUGACGUUGGCUGGGGACAACCCAGUGUUUUUGAGUGGGCCCACAGAAGUUGCUCUGCCCACUGUUCUUCAACCCCAAGAACAUUCCUGGUUUCUCUGAUAACAUCCUUAAGCACAGCGCUGAUAGAAAGAUUCUGUGUAUAUGGAUGACCUGGCACUUCUAAAUAUUAUUUAUUUUCCAGGACUUCUGGGUCACUAGAAGUGAUUAGAAUUCUACUAUUAAGGACUUCAGCUACCUCAGUCCUGUAUCUUCAGCAUCCCUCUGUUUCACAGAGAAAUUGGAGCCAAGAGACCUCGCUCGAGGGACGAAGCACCGUGGCAGCCGUGUCCGCUGAGGUGAGGGGCCCUUGAGCCUGAGGUUUACCUUUCCCAAGCAUAUUACAUCUCUCAGAAUCCUCCCAGUGCCUUCAGGCUGACUCUGUUGUUUGAUGUCCUCUUUUGCCUUACUUUUAUAAAAGAAAAGCUUUUUCUGUGCAGGACCUUCCACCCCUAGGUCUCGAAGAGGGAUUACUGAGUUCAGCGGUGACGCUGUGAAACACCGUGGAAGUAUUGCUGUUCUCCACACAAAUAAAGGGAGGUUUAAGGCUGGACCCAAGCAGAUGUCUGCAGUGAAAUUUGCACAGAAUUUAGGCACCUUAGUUCAAAGUCCUGAUGCUGAAAAACCUGCUCUUGCCUUUCCCUGCUGCAGGAGCUGCCUGUGCACUGCAGGCUCUUCAUUCGCGGGGUUUAACUUCUUCUCAAAGGUGCUUGGGGAUAUGUCUGGCUGGAUAGACCUUUCCUGCUGACCAGACUGAGUUUGGGGUUUAUCCCUGGAAUAUUUGGGUCGAAACAAACUAUUCUGGUGGAGAAGGGCUGUAGCUGCUUCCACUGGCCUGCCUGUUUGUGCCGGUAGGAACCCUUUGAGUGAGUGAAGACACCACGGGCAGUCUGGUCCUCAAGGUAAAUUAAUGUCUUUUUACCUUUUCUAGAAAAGGCCAGAUGACCCCUAGGACCUUGUCCUGAGUUUUGUGCUUGAGGUGCCCUUCCUAAUAUUUAGAGAGGUCUAGGUGGAAAAUGUGCGUUAUUCACUUCUGCACUGCAGUGUGUUUCUGCAAAGGGAGCCACCUUUAUCCUAUUGCUACACGAUUAUAGGAGCCUAAUUAAGAAAGCGAGUGGAGUCAAAAAGGAAAAUGCUGCCCCUCGUUUCCUCCACAGCAACCUGGCCUGUGCUGCUUCACUUUUUUAAGCUGUUUGGUGUAUUUGUUUUACUGAAAUGCUUGUUUCGUGGUAGAGGCUCUGCCCUUUGGUGUCCCCUUUGCACACCACAGCAGCGGUACGUAGCAAAACAGUUAGUAAAAGAAGUUUCUUGGGUAUUUGUGGUGCCUCAGGAAGCAUUGCAUGUUCUGGGACAGCCUUGAAACUCUUCUUCAAGCUCCUGUGAGGCCACUUAGGCUGUGCCUCCUGGGAACAAAGGGAAUUUGCAUGACUUUUCAGCAUCUCCCGCCUGCCCAGUGAUUUGUGUGUUAACUCAGAAUAAGUCAUUACCUCUCCGGAGCUGAGGGCACCAGAGGGUUUCAAACUGCGUUACAAACAGGGCAGCCCCGCUGACAUGAAUAUAGCUGGUCAAUUGGGAGUGUAAACACAGUCUGACUUAUUAUCAAUUAACUUCCUACUAAUCACAGAGGUAAGGAGAGGAAGGCGUCACUUCACGCUGGAAUGGGAUGGAGAGCGUAGCUUCAAUUGUCCAGAGCACAGCUACCCCCAGCUAAAACUGUAAGUAAGGACUAUCUCUAAUUGAAACCAGAUGGAACAUUCAAGUAGGCAGCCUACAAAUGCUUUACAAAAAGUAGAAAGCUUUUUGUAUGAGAAUUAAUCUUUAAGCCUCGCUGGGGUCCUAAGAAUUCAGCUCAGUCAGCACUGGUCUGUAAAGAUCUAUGCCCAGGUUUGCAUUUAAUUCUGUUUAUCUGGGGCUAUUAAUUAUCUCCUUUCAGUUUCCCUGUGAAAAUCCGCGUGUUGGGUCUGCUGAACACUCUUGCACAGAAAGAUCUGUCAUUGACUGUUUGGGCAGCUAAAUUGGGUACAACAGUUCGCUGCUCAAAGGUAUCUUAACUUCGCAUCCCUUUCUGCUGGGGCAUUAAUACUGGGGAUGACUUCAAUCUUAUUGUAAUCUCCUUGUACACAUUGCUUUUCUAAUUUCAUGCCUAGGUAUGGCAUUUCCAUUACAAAGGAGUUUUGUUGGUUGAGCUCUGCUGGUCUGGGUCUUUCAAAAGCUGAUCAGAGCUUCUGGUCAUGUGCUUCUGCUCUUUUCCCGCAGAACAAAACAUCAUCUACGCAGAUCCUGGGCUAUCAAACAGUUCAAGUGCCAAACACAACCCAAACGGCAGCCUGAGAAAAUUAUGUGUCCCGUAGGAGCCGUUGAAUAUGCACAAAUGUAUGAUCUGUUUUCCUAACGUGGCUGUUGGAACCCUGCUGGUGCCUCCAGCAGGGAAAAAUAUUUGGCAUGGGCCAUUUUCCCCCAAACUUUCCUCCUUACAGGAAAUCAAAAAUGUUCUUUUCCUACAUAUUUAUUUGUGCUUCACUGUAAUCACAAAGGGUUGCAUUUUUUCCCCUUUCUCAUGAAUGUCCUCUCGUUGCCAAUUCUGUUUCCUCUUCUGGGAGCUGCAAUUCUUUUCAGCCUUUCCUCUGGUGUCUGCUGUAUAUUCCAUAAUAAUUCAACGUAGGAGAUGAGCUUUAGGAUGGGUGGGCUGUAUUCAGGUUUACUCAGCGCCCUGUACCCGUUUCCCUGUUUAUUUUAUUUAAUCCUUGUUCUCCAGGUGCUCUGGUAAAAGUGUUCUAAAGCGAACAAGGCUUUUCAACACAACUAUGUACGCUGCUGAUUUUUCAGACCAUCUCUUUUGCUUCCCCCUGCAUUGAACAGUGGAUUCCUUUGGUCAGAGAGAAGAUCCCCACUGCUGUGGUCUGCUCACCCUCUGCUACACAGCCAUCCCAUAAAGGACUCCAAGCGGGGAUUUUGUCCACACUGACCGUUGCGUUGGCAUUCGCACGUUCUCGAUGUCUCGAGAUCUCUGCCCUCCUCCCUUCUGCCGUAGGUUUUUGGAUUAUUGGAUCUGUGUUCUCUCAGCUUCAGGACAGACAUGGUGACAGAUCCGUUCCCUGACGCCAGACCCACAGCUGGAACGUGGUCUCCAAGUCAGCUGCUGCGAUGCCACAGAUCCGGUCCUGGACUCAUUGAUGCCCAUGUUCUUUGUGAAGCCCAAGAUUUCUCAGAUUUGUCACUUCUCGCAUGGUAAGCAUCAUUCACCUGCGUCGGCUGGAAGUCAGUGAGAGCUGUCACGUGUGGCUGGCUGUAGCCAGGAACAAGACUCUCUUCAUUGUUCUGGUUUGGGAAUUGCUCGCUGUCAGGUAUUUUCCUCGCUCCAUGUCGAGUUCUCGCUUCUGCAGCAGGAACCUGUGCACAACAUGUGCUGCUUCGGGGUCUUUGGAGGCACCGUACCCCACGGAAUACUGCACUUGUCAGAAACUGCAUGCAAUGCUUAAAAAAAAAAGAGAGAGAAUAAUAGAAUAAUAGAAUAGGAGUUUUAUGUGAGGUUUUUCUUCCUUCCUGAUGUCAUUCUCUGGUACUUCUUUACAGCUUCCUUUUUAAGCUGAGCAUAAUGCAUGAGCUCCGCUCUCCAGUAAAAAACACACAUUAACAGCAUUAGUAGCAGUAAACAUCAAAAGCACAUCGGUAAUACUGUUCCUUAUCUUCCCCUACGCUGCCUUCUCCAGAAGUUUUACUUCUAGAAUGAGCUGGUGGCAUGAGCCAUAUUGGCAACACUGCAGAUACUGCGACAGGAACCCCAGAAUAAUAGCAGCUAAUGUCUGGUGAGUGGGCUGGAGGUCAGGAGGAAAAAGCCUGACUACCGUUGGAGAGGAUGGUUUAGACAAAGCUAACAGAUCCUGAAGCAAACUUCAGCCUGCAAGAUGGUUUUAGAGGCAGAUUGCAGCCAUUCGGGGCUUGAGGAACAUUAGAUUUGUGAGAAAGCUUUUCUUCCUCUGUCAAAGAUGUAUUUUUUGUUACCUGCCUCAGAGGGCUCGCAUCCGGAAAAUGCCACUUCGUUUCUUCUUAGAACGAAAAUGUUCAUUCCAGAUGAUAUAGACAUAAACCUCAAUUUCUCCUCAGCCCUCACUCCAGGUUUUCGAACAUUGAGUCUUUUUGAGAAAUACCUUUCUUGCUGAAUACAUACACUUCUGCACGUCCAGAAAUGAAGGGUACUUCAGAGAGCCUUAACCUCUUUCUCUACCAGUUCCUCAUUUUUAGCAAUGUAAAUUUGCUCCAAACAUCGAAAUCCUCUCCAGUUUUUGGUAGUGAUCCUUUUUUGCUGAAUUAUUUUGGGAAUGUGAAGGGCAUCUUGCUUUUACACAAAAUCUCCACUGCCUGUGUAGCACAAGAGUGUUUUUUAUUCUCAGAUUUCCUGCCAGCACGUACCUCCCACUGCCCUGAAGGAGGAUGUGCCAUUCUACCUUUGGUCCUUCUAAGAGCAUCCCCCAAAACGUGUAUUAGUGGAAGGCGAAGUAGGUGGAGCAACAGCCCCGGGAACAUUUACAACGUGGAGGUACCUGCUCACUAGAAGGUGCAUUAGCACCUUCCCCUCUUUUUGGGCCAGGCUGCUCGUGGGCAGCGAUGUUCAAAACCCGCCCAUGUCUCUGGGUAUGAAGCAGCAACGUUUAAUUUCCUGCAGUUCCUGCCGCACAGUUUUGUAUCUCUGAAUGUCUUUGUGUCUCGCUUGGGCGCAAAGUCGCAUUCUGACCUCUUUGAAACUCAUUUCAUAUUUCUUCGAAUCAAUAAACUUGGAAUGCAGUUGCAGAAAUACCAAGCAGUCAAUAAGUCCAGUCAAGUCACGUUAGGAGGAAGAGCGAUGUGCUGCAAAGGCAACAUUUUCGUAAGGGACUGCUCUCCAGCCAUAUUUGUUGUUCCAAUUAGUCUGAUUUAGUGGCUCAGGCAGGGGGCUGCAGCCUGGAGCACUCAGCCUCUAAUUUGAUUUUUAAAGUUGCCAUUCAGGUCCUAAGGAAAUAAAAAUAUACCGUAAAACCAUGUUGUGACAGCAGAUGUAUAGAUGCUGAUGUUUAGUGUGCAGCCAACCUGUCAGGAAGAUCUGCGGGUUCACGGCAUGAUCACCCGCAUUUCACAUCCCACCGGAGCCGCGUGUUUUGCUCCCUGGGCUUUGAUCACCGCUCCCCUGGGAGGAGCAUGGAAAGGUGGCAGAAUGGUGGUGUUUUUCCAGAACUGUUGCCCUGAAGGGAUGUUUAAACAAAAAAAGAAAGUAAAAUUAAUGUGUGUGAGAAGUGCCAGAUUGACAGCUUUAGCGAGUAAAACACUUUACCUAUUUGAAGGCUACCCACGUUUUAUCUGCCAGAGCUCUCAGCAUAGUGCCAUCUCUCUCGCAAAAUAGAUUCUUUUCUUUUUAAACUGUCCUUGUAUCUCCAAAGUGCUCAGUCCUGCAUCUGAAGAACAGUCAGACAGCACUGAUGGGGGUAAAAAGUUGAACUGCUGAAAACUGGGAAGAAACGUUGUCAAAUGUGCCCUGGUUUUGGAGAUGCUUACAAUUUGCAAGCGGCUAGAAAUGAUUUAAAAAUGAAAUUUAUGCAGAACGCUUCAAGGCAUUGCUCUGCUUGCAAACUGGAAACUGCUGGGAACAGAAGCUUGUUUCUGUCCUUGGCGAAUCGGGGCUGUUGUUGCUCUCUGCAAAGAGGCCUCUGUGGCUCCUCCGACAGCGGCAAAGCCGAGGGCACGUCCGGGCUUUGGCAGCACGAAGGUGCUUUGAGAGACACCAUGAUCACCUGGCGGGAGAUCACUGGCAGAAGACAAGUCCUUCAGUGGCACCUUAUGAGCUUGGGGAGUUAACGCUGUGUCUAAACGAGGUCUUGGAUCUGUUUGUUCAUGGCAUUGGUAACAAGAUAUUCAACUUACUGGAUAGAGUCCAAUUAGGUCUCUGCGCUUUUAUGCAGAGAUAAAUGUCCAUCUGAAACUGCACAGUGAGGUCUUCAAAGUACCCGCUGCACAAACGUGAAAACUCUGCUGGAAAGCCCGAUUUACAACUGUUUGUGCUUGUCCCCUUUUCAGACUACAUGGUAAAAAUGAAGCAGUCUGAUAUUUCUUCCAUGAAAAAUGCAUUGCAUUUAUAGGAAAUUCCUUCACAGCAUUUGAAAGGGUGAUGAGGAGCAGACCCAAAACUCUCUUUUUAAAGAGUGGCCUGAGGAGUGUAUGAACAAGGUAGUUGCUCAUUACAGCAAACAGGACUCUGUAUUGUCUAACGUCAGUAUUCCUUCUCGUUUCUGCAGAUCAUCAUCUUCACUACAUCAUAUUAAUGAUGGGUGCCACUGUUUUUAAACUGUUAAAUUAGUGGGCUAAGGUAAUUUUGUUCAUAUUUACUAUUCUGUCACAAGGUUCUAAAAGUUCUCUGUGCCUCCAGUGUCUGCCAUUUAAAAUGUGGGGGGGAUAGUUAUGCCACUAUUUUCAAACAGGGUGUCGUGGAAUCAUUUUAGCUGGUUAUUGCGUUUAAGCAGCGAGAGCAGUCUGAGCUGGCAGCCCUGACUGAGUGCCAGCAGCACAGGACGCCUGUGGGAGCUGCAGGUGUUGACUUAGCAGUCAAAUGUAUCUUAAGUUUUAUGCAUGAGACUUAAUUAAUAUCUGUAAAGUGCGCUGAGAUCACCGGGAGCAAUGGGCUGUGUAUUUUCCAGGCAUCCUCUCUUGCUGGUCUAAGAUUGUUUCUUUGAUUUCUCAAGCCCAGAGGCAGACGACUGUUUUUAUAUGCUAAGUAUCAAUUCUCUUCCUUUUGUUUUGAGCCUUUCUCCUCUCCAAUCUUUCCUCUCUGUUUUGAAUUGCUCUCAGACUGCAGUCUCACUUCCCUGCCUUCACUGGCACAGACACCAGGAGAAAAUGUGAGAGUGUUUACAUAGCACUGAAGCACUAGGACUCCGGAGACGUGAAUUGUGGACCUGCUGCGCAACCUUGGUGAUUUUGGACACCUUUCCCCAGUUCCGCUUUCCUUCCAGCUCCCUUCUAGACUAUAACCUCUCCAGGAAAGGACUUGCUUUUAUUGUGUGUUCCCUACUGUGUCUCAUACAAUAGGUCCCAACCUCAGGUAAGACCUUUAGGCGCUCCCAUUAUAUGAGAACAAGAUUGUUGGUGUCAGUAAUUAACAUUCUUGUGGGAUUGUUGGAAAUGCUUUGGGAUAAAUAACACUUGCAAUCCUGUCUGGCUUCUGUGGUUUUUAAGCAGCGGCGGAGGCUGAUCCUGUUCAUGCGAGAGGCCCUGGACCAUCUGUCCCGUCUCUUAGUGGGUACGCACAGUCCAAAAAUGAGUUAUUAAUACAAUAGCUCAGUGAGAAGUGGGACGCUGGAGAAGGGAGGGCAUUGCCAGUGGGGAAGAAGGAUGGAGGCUCAGUUUGCAGUCUCCAGUUCUGAUCUCACCUGAGAACAAAGACUACGGGACAAGUACCAAAACAGAAAGAAAAAUACCAAGCUAAGUGUCGCCGAGCUCACAGGGAAUGCCUGAGACACAGUGUCAUCCCACGACAGGCUUUGGAGAUGAAAUCUCACUCUGGUGACGUGGAUGGCAGAACUCCCGUUCACUGCAAUGCCAUCCGCCUUUCCCCGUGGGGGUUACCUGGAUUUCUCUCCUGAAUGCCCAGAGAGCCACAUCCCACAUCAUUAUGCACAUUCCCAUAAAAAAUAAAUUAUUCUUUAAAGUAUGGAUUGUAAACCCUGCAUUUUGGACUCUAAGUUCCCUCUAUCUGCAUCUGAAAUCCCUAAAUAAACAAACAUUGAAUUAGAGCUCGAGAGCCCCCUCCACUCAGCAAGUGAAGCCUUUAAAAGCAUUUCACACCAACUGCUCUGCUCCUAUUUCACUCAGUUGAACGCUGACUCACGCAAAGGGGCUCUUGUCCGUCUUCCCCUCAAACUUCCCAGGGAACUCACCUUCCUUAUUGGAAGGUCUGUCUCCAGCGAGAAGUUGGAAUUGUUCAGCUGUUGACAUCAGGAAUGACAUAAAUAUGGGCUGAGGUUAGAGAGUUGCUGGCAAACGGCCCACUAACCUAGAAUUUGCUCUGCCAAGUCAGGAGGACGACUUUUUAACCUCCAAGCAGUUUGUAAAACCGCAUCUGUGAGCAAUAAAUAUGAAAAAUUGGGAAAAAAAACAAUCUAGCACGUAGUGAGUGACGAAAGACAGCAUGCCUCGCUGGGCACCGUGGUGCAGGCAUCGGUGUGGAGGAACGAUCACGGAGGUCGUCGCUGCCAGAAGUCUGGGGACGUAGCUGAUGCCUCAUACACAAGGGAGGCAGCACAGCAGAUUAAACUGAAGGUAUCUCAUGGCUGUGUCUUAAUAAUCCAGGUCUUUAUUUGUCCCGUCUUAGCCCCAGAUUGUCUUAUUGAGCUGUUAGAGGAUGCCCAGUGACGUGAAAUUCUCUAGAUAACAAUAAAUUGGUGUAACGCUUCAGUGUCACCUCACAUCCUGCUAAGCGAUAAACCACGAUCAGAAAAAUAGACACAACCGGAGUGCCGCUGAGCAGGCGAAUCCUAAUUUUAACACCCUUUUUGCGGGCCACAGAUAACCCAGAGUGACUUGCAGCAGCUCUGAAGCAGCUCCAAAUCUCAGCAGGAGUCAGAAAGGCUCAGUCCUAGCCCGGGGACGGAGGAGUCCCAAAGGAUCAGUGGAGUUGUCAUUGUGCCAUAACCUUGCUUCUGCAGCAAAAAAUCCAGCAAGCUGGUUUGAAAUCUGAAGCACCUCAAGCAAAAAGACAAAAUUUUAAUCACUGAUGAAAUGAAGGUCCUCGUGUGGAUCGCUCUCUGGAGAAUAUUGUCUGUCUCUGAUGAUCAUGCACAGACUCCCAAAGAAGGUAAAUGUUGAAUUUUAAGCUGUACAGUGUCAAUGGCUGAAUGACAGCAUUAAAUCUGGGCUGUAAUGCUGAGAUAUCUCCAGGAGGAGAAAAACACCUUUUGCACUCAGCUGUGUAGGGGUGGCUGAGGUGAAUAUAUUGUCUCCAAAUAUUAAAGGGUGAGGGAAGAAUUUAUACACGUACGUGACACAUUUGCAGCCUAAAGGUGUUUUGUUUUUAAUUCAAGAGUUUAAAAGGUCAGCAAUGCCGACAGUAAGGUGGCCUGUGCAACUGUAAUUUGUCCCUUUUGUGCAUUUGCAUUAUGAUACACUAUUUAAUUGUAAUUAGAUGACAUGCUGUUCUUUCGACAGGUUCCCGGCUUGACUCACUGUACAAAAUAGACUGUGCUCACUAAGUAAUAAUUUUAUUUUCUCCUUGCUGUUCAGUAUGUGGCCCAUGCUUUAUUUACUGCACACUAUUCAAAUAUUGUUCUGAAGACAGAUUUAUUCAUUUCCUCCUGGGCUUUUCCACAGUACUCAUCACUAUGGUAUCCAAGUGCUUCACAAACUCUAAUUCAUUUUCUCAACACGGUUGCGAGAACUGGUAUUACCCGUAUUUUACAGAUGAGGAACUUCGGCAUACAAACAGAAUAGUAAAACCUGUCUUUUAAUUUUGGAUAUCUGUCUCUGUUCUGAGUGCUGUGCUUUGCAUCCCUCGCCGGAGCAGCCGUCACCCCCUCGGCCACAGCGCCAGGCAGCCUUUCCCCACUGUUUCUUGCAAGAGCUAACAUAGAAAAACGCCAGCAAUUUAAUUCUGUGUUGACAUUGACGCAGGCUGUCAGCAAUGUGGAAACUUACCCUAAAAUGAGGAACGUAAUAGUUUGCAUGUCGUCCAGCACUCGAAGGUGACGAGGUACGUUCCAAGUGUAUUUCAGAUACUUGCUGCCAGUCGUGAUGUGACAGUUUUCCAGUUGGUUUUCAUUCCCAUUCCUAUAUCCUCACCUUUCUGCUCUGCCUCCCUCAGCCUCUGUCGUUCCCACAUCUCCAUCCCUGUCUCUAGCGAAUUCCCUCUUCCCCUUGGGGUUGUGUGUCCUCCUCCCUUGCCCGCUCCCCCUCUCGCCUCUGAUCCCUUUUGCCCACCAAAUUUUCCUUCAGCCCUUAGCCAGGUAAUGUACUGGUCUUGUACUUGUCUUGUGCUGGUCUUGUGCUGGUCCUCCUGGGUUGCACGUCCUCCUGGCAGUUUUCUCCCCAUUCCCAGUCUGUUUUCAAGCCUUCUCCCAACAUGCUGGCUUCCAGACUCUUCUUUGUGGGCUUUGUUUUAUCCAGUUCUUGUCCCUGGUCCAGUUCUUGUCCUGGUUCAGUUCUCAUCCCCAUGAGUGUUACUGCAGGAGUUUCCUGCUCCGAGAGGACUGGAAGGACAGGUUCUCCGCUUGCUCUUCCUAUCUUCACACUUGGCAUGGUCCAAG